UACGGGGGGGGCAAGCGUUGUUCGGAAUUACUGGGCGUAAAGGGCUCGUAGGUGGCCAACUAAGUCAGACGUGAAAUCCCUCAGCUUAACUGGGGAACUGCGUCUGAUACUGGAUGGCUUGAGUUUGGGAGAGGGAUGCGGAAUUCCAGGUGUAGCGGUGAAAUGCGUAGAUAUCUGGAGGAACACCGGUGGCGAAGGCGGCAUCCUGGACCAAUUCUGACGCUGAGUGAGCGAAAGCCAGGGGAGCAAAGCGGGG
rnacentral:rRNA from 1 species